rnacentral:rRNA from 1 species
UACAGAGGGUGCGAGCGUUGUUCGGAAUUACUGGGCGUAAAGCGCGCGCAGGCGGCCUUUUAAGUCUGCUGGUGAAAUGCCGGGGCUCAACCCCGUGCCCGCCACAGAUACUGGGAGGCUGGAGACGAGUAGAGGCAAGCGGAAUUCCGGGUGUAGUGGUGAAAUGCGUAGAGAUCCGGAGGAACCCCAGAGGCGAAGGCGGCGCUCUGGCUCGCAACUGACGCUCAGACACGACAGCAUGGGGAGCGAACGGG